rnacentral:ncRNA from 1 species
CCCUGGGACUAAUUUUUUUUAAUAAAGUUUUAUCAUGGCUUGGAAAUUUUCUUUAAGAUGAAUUUACAUGUAAGUUGUUGCGAGAUUUUAUGUAAAUCUAAAAGAUUUUUAAAUGUUAGUCUCAGUAUAUGAUAUUUUGAGUUUUUGUGGAUAAAGAAAAAGUUAAUUUUAAAGAUUAGCUCUGGUUAAACUUGUGCCAGCAGCCGCGGUUACACAGGGAGAGCAAGAAAAUUGUUUUAGCAAAAGUCAAUUAAGAUUAUUUGAAUAAAAUGUUAAUUUUUAGGUGAAAUUUUAAUUAACAUAAUUAUUAAUUAAAAAAUUUAAUGAAGCUUAAAAAUCUUGAUAAAAAACUAGGAUUAGAUACCCUAUUAUUUAAGGAGUUAGAAAAAAUUGCUUAGGUAGUAAUAGUUAAAUUCUCGAAACUUAAAAGAUUUGACGGUAAUUUAAACUAACUAGAGGAACUUGCCCCGUAAUCGAUAAUCCCCGUUAAAUUUUACUUACAUUAGUUAUCAGCUUAUAUACCGCCGUCAUAAAAUUAUAUUAGGAAAUAAUAAUUAUAAUCUUUAUAGAGAAUGUCAGGUCAAGGUGUAGCUUAUGUGUAAGAGGAGGUGAGUUACAUUAAAAUUAUUUAUACGAAAUAAGAGAGGAGGCUUCUCUUAGGAAGGUGGAUUUAGUAAUAAUUAAUCAUACAAAAAGAUUAAUGAAAAUAGCUCUAAAUUAUGUACACAUCGCCCGUCGCUCUCAUUUAUUAAGGUGAGAUAAGUCGUAACAUAGUAGAUGUAUUGGAAAAUGCCUCUAGAAAGU